GGGGGGCGCACCAAGACAGCAGUUCGGGAGCUGCGCUUUGUCACCGAGGCGGCGAGGGGCGGAGGGCGCAGAAAGGGGCCGCGGAGAAAGGACAAGGCGGCCGACCAGCUCCCAGGAUGGAAAGGGACCCUCAAGGGGCUCCAGGCAGCACCUGGGGCAAGGGGAGGGACUGAUACUCCCGGCCGGAGCCCAACCUGUGGCGCGUGCUUCAGUCCUGAGCCAGCGGCUCCCUGGCUUCUGGGCUGGCAUCCGUCCUACCCUCCUCCCGCUGCAACACGCCCCUGAUAGCCGCUCCCCCACCCUCUGAAACUCACCCGCACAGACUCACCGCCAGGCUUCUGGGCUGGGAUCGCGCAGUCCCUCCACGUCGCGGCGCCCUGAGGCCCCUCCCGGCGCCACCGAGUCUUCCGUCUUCCGGGCCCAGGAGAGGGGAAGGGGCUUUGGCCUCCUCAGCUUGGGAACUGAGAGAGACACAGGGUCAGAGAGCACACAGAGACAGAGAGACACCCGCACCCUGGAGGAAGAAUUUUGGGACCAUCGAGUUGUCCUCUACUACUCCACAGCCCGAAAUGAUGCCUCCACCCAGAUUUGUGGUCCUGCAUUGCCCUUGUUGGGUGGCCCUGACAGGCGCUGCAGUGGGCAGGUUCCCUCUUACAGUGCAGGGGUGGAAGAGGGUGGAGAUGGUGCCCCAUGGCAGGGGACUGGGAGUAGGGGGAGCAAGGUGGUCAGGUUUGUCUGGCCCUUGGAUAGCCCAGUGCUUGGAAAGGAUUUGUGCCUGGACAAAAUCUAUUAAAAACAAACAAAAGAUCCUGAAAACAUAUCCUCCCCUGACCCCACUCCAAUCUCUUCUCAAUAAUGUAAAUGAAGCAAUGUUGUAAUACAGUGAUAAUAACAGGACAGUUCCCUGGACUCUGGGUUUCCUUUAUCCCAAAGGAAGGUCAGCCCAAGCCGAGUCCUGUCUUUUACAGGAGAAACCCCAGCGGGGUGAUUCUCUCCCUGAUGCAGGUCCAGAGCCUAGAGGUUUGGAUGGAGGCACAUGCAGAACAUAAAGGAUGUCCCCAGCCAGGUUGCAGGUGUGACCAGGCCUGGCCAGACUCUUGGGUUUUGCCCCUUGGACCAAUCAAUCCUGGAGGUCAAUUUGAAGGGGGUAGCAGCCAUGUAAGGGAAAAUACCCUGGUAAAGGGUACUCUAUGAAAUGGCUCAGGGAAUUGUGCCUGGAGUAUGGUGGCUCCAAGGGUGUGGGGGAUCUGGGAACUGAAGGCCAACUUCUCUGCCUCUGCAUUUUCGUGGGAAGAGGGCUGAUGGCUAUGUG
rnacentral:lncRNA from 10 species